rnacentral:rRNA from 1 species
GAUGAACGCUGGCGGCGUGCCUAGUACAUGCAAGUCGAGCGAACGGACGAGAAGCUUGCUUCUCUGAUGUUAGCGGCGGACGGGUGAGUAACACGUGGAUAACCUACCUAUAAGACUGGGAUAACUUCGGGAAACCGGAGCUAAUACCGGAUAAUAUUUUGAACCGCAUGGUUCAAAAGUGAAAGACGGUCUUGCUGUCACUUAUAGAUGGAUCCGCGCUGCAUUAGCUAGUUGGUAAGGUAACGGCCUACCAAGGCAACGAUGCAUAGCCGACCUGAGAGGGUGAUCGGCCACACUGGAACUGAGACACGGUCCAGACUCCUACGGGAGGCAGCAGUAGGGAAUCUUCCGCAAUGGGCGAAAGCCUGACGGAGCAACGCCGCGUGAGUGAUGAAGGUCUUCGGAUCGUAAAACUCUGUUAUUAGGGAAGAACAUAUGUGUAAGUAACUGUGCACAUCUUGACGGUACCUAAUCAGAAAGCCACGGCUAACUACGUG